UGGUAGUCCGUGCACCGGGUCUUCCUCUGCGGUCCCACCGUCACCCGUGUUACUUCCGGGUCAGAGGUCGUGUGCCUGACAGGUUUGUGUGCCGCUCUGUGCUCCCUGUGUGUGCUGCUGUGAUCGUUGGCCGUGGUGAAUGCUGGCGGCUGCCUGGAGUCCAAUCCUUCCUCCUUGUGAGUGUGUGUGUUCUGAGAAG